CGUCAUGUAGCUCAAUGGACAGAGCGCCGGGCCGCUAGCCCGGAGGCCGGAGGUUCAAGUCCUCCCAUGACGA
rnacentral:tRNA from 1 species